AUGGAAUUGAAAAGGUCGUUUCCAGGUAUGUUCACUAAGGGAAAAGGGAAGAGGCGUUUUCCGGCAGUGAAUCUUGUUCCUGCUAAAAGGCCUAAACCAGUAGAAGUUGCUUUCCACCUUUUGCCAAAACAAUAUGAAAAAACCCCAAAAGAACAAGACCAACUAGUCCACUUGCAGGCAGGACUGGGCCGCAGGACUGUUUAUUUAGAUGAGAGCACAACACAUGAUGAGGUAAGCAGAUUCCAUAUGUAUAUGUGCUAGUUGUACUAUGAUCAUGAAGAAUUCUGUUAAUUAGUCCUACCCGAUUCCUUUUUGAGAUGUGGCAACCAGGACUGGCAACCAUUUUAUUAUUAUUAUUAACAUUUAUUUUACCAGGCAAGUUGACUGACAUCCUUUUCUCAUUUGGAAAGAAAUCUGUUUGGAAGAAAGCUUCUUAGUAGUUAUGCAAAUUACUAUAAAUUGUAUGAAGAAGUAGUCAUCAAGUUUAUAAUGGUCAGAUGUUUAAUUCUGAUUUCUAAUAAGCUAAAAUGCAUCUAAUCAAGACUGAUGUUCUAGUACAAUCAUCCUU
ensembl:lncRNA